AUGAAGCCAGUCAGAAGAAAGCAGACGUGGGGACGUUUUUAUGCUGAUAAAGCUCUGCACUCAGCAACUUGAGGGUAGUGACCUGAUUUCUCUCCCAGCACAGCAUCUGGUUCAACAAUGAUUGUAUGUUAAGUAGUGAACUUGUAUUCAGUGGCCCUCUCUGCCACUCCUCUGCCACCCAUCACCUACAAUUGGUACCACUGGGACAAGACAAGAUGGCUUGGAUUCAACCAUCUCAGACUGUAAGCUCCUUAAGGACAGAGAACCAGUCUACGGAUGCAUAUCUUCCUUAAGACACGUAAUAGGAUUCUUCGCGUAUGCAGCUCAUCAGUGCCUAGUACAGAGGAGGAGGAAUCCGCAACAGGAGGAUGAAACAAUGCAUUACAGAGUUAUGCGCGUGCGCGUGUGUGCACACCUCUAUGCACAAAGGAGAGAAACGCAGGGAGACCCAGAGGCAGAGGGAC